GACGAACGCUGGCGGCGUGCCUAAUACAUGCAAGUUGAGCGCUGAAGGUUGGUACUUGUACCAACUGGAUGAGCAGCGAACGGGUGAGUAACGCGUGGGGAAUCUGCCUUUGAGCGGGGGACAACAUUUGGAAACGAAUGCUAAUACCGCAUAAAAACUUUAAACACAAGUUUUAAGUUUGAAAGAUGCAAUUGCAUCACUCAAAGAUGAUCCCGCGUUGUAUUAGCUAGUUGGUGAGGUAAAGGCUCACCAAGGCGAUGAUACAUAGCCGACCUGAGAGGGUGAUCGGCCACAUUGGGACUGGGACACGGCCCAAACUCCUUCGGGGGGCAGCAGUAGGGGAUCUUCGGCCAUGGGCGGAAGUCUGACCGAACAACGCCGCGUGGGUGAAGAAGGUUUUCGGAUCGUAAAACUCUGUUGGUAGGGAAGAACGUUGGUGAGAGUGGAAAGCUCAUCAAGUGACGGUAACUACCCAGAAAGGGACGGCUAACUACGUG
rnacentral:rRNA from 1 species